rnacentral:rRNA from 1 species
AGGACGAACGCUGGCGGCGUGCUUAACACAUGCAAGUCGAGCGGAAAGGCCCUUCGGGGUACUCGAGCGGCGAACGGGUGAGUAACACGUGAGUAAUCUGCCCCUAGCUCUGGGAUAGCUCCGGGAAACCGGGAUUAAUACCAGAUACGACCACUUUAGACAUCUGUUGUGGUGGAAAGAAUUUUGGCUAGGGAUGAGCUCGCGGCCUAUCAGCUUGUUGGUGAGGUAACGGCUCACCAAGGCGACGACGGGUAGCCGGCCUGAGAGGGCGACCGGCCACACUGGGACUGAGACACGGCCCAGACUCCUACGGGAGGCAGCAGUGGGGAAUAUUGCGCAAUGGGCGAAAGCCUGACGCAGCGACGCCGCGUGGGGGAUGAAGGCCUUCGGGUUGUAAACCCCUUUCAGCAGGGACGAAGCGAAAGUGACGGUACCUGCAGAAGAAGCGCCAGCUAACUACGCGCCAGCAGCCGC